AGUGCUCAGUUAAUAUGCAAAACACACUCACAUGCAUCCUGGAAUUUACCUCAAAAUCAUUAAAAAUACAUUUUGUAGCAUUUUAUUUGUUAACAAUUUAUUUCUAUUUUUGAUGUAACUGAAUUAGACUAAAAUGCAUUAUUAGUUUUAGUGUCAGUGUCAGUGUUAUUUUGAGUGUUGGUGUCAGUGUGUUUUAGUGCAGGAGGUUUUUGUACAGAUGUUGAUUGAGUUUGUAUCACUGUGGUGGACUUUCGGUGGAGGAACUCGACUCUCAGUUGGAACUGCGGCUCGUCCCGCUCUCACGGUGCUGCCUCCCUCCAGAGACGAGCUGCAGCAGGGUAAGGCUACAGUGCUGUGUGUGGCCAGUAAGGGAUUCCCCUCUGACUGGAAGCUGAGCUGGAAGGUGGACGACAGCAGCAGGAGCUCUGGUGUCAAUCUGAGUCCCGGUCAGCUGCAGAAGGAUGGACUGUACAGCUGGAGCAGCAGCCUGAGCCUCACUGAGAGUGAGUGGAGCAGAGCAACAACCGUCAGCUGUGACGCCACGCACCCGUCCCACAAUGCAGUGACCAAGAGCCUCGACACACAGCAGUGCAAUGACCAGUGAAACACACACACUGACACACUGUCCUAAAUCAGCCAAUGCUCAACAAUUAAUCUUUCAUGCUGUUGGUAUAUUGCUCAUAUAUUCUUAUCUGUUGUAACUCUACAACUACAAUGCUACGAAUGUUUUGUUGAUCUUUUUAUUCUUGCUGCCAAAUAAAAGCAUUUUGUCUUAAA